GGGGAUUUAGCUCAGCGGCAGAAGUGUCUGCCUUGCAAGCAGGCAGUCGUGAGUUCGAACCCCAGUACCCA
rnacentral:tRNA from 1 species